GUGCUUGCUUUGGCAGCACAUAUACUAAAAUUGGAUCGAUAUAGAAAAGAUUAGCAUGGCCCCUGCUUCACGAACGCAAAUUCAUGCGGCAUUCCAUAUUUUU
ensembl:snRNA U6 U6 spliceosomal RNA